rnacentral:rRNA from 1 species
GAUGAACGCUGGCGGCGUGCCUAAUACAUGCAAGUCGAGCGAACGGACGAGAAGCUUGCUUCUCUGAUGUUAGCGGCGGACGGGUGAGUAACACGUGGAUAACCUACCUAUAAGACUGGGAUAACUUCGGGAAACCGGAGCUAAUACCGGAUGAUAUUUUGAACCGCAUGGUUCAAAAGUGAAAGACGGUCUUGCUGUCACUUAUAGAUGGAUCCGCGCUGCAUUAGCUAGUUGGUAAGGUAACGGCUUACCAAGGCAACGAUGCAUAGCCGACCUGAGAGGAUGAUCGGCCACACUGGAACUGAGACACGGUCCAGACUCCUACGGGAGGCAGCAGUAGGGAAUCUUCCGCAAAGGGCGAAAGCCUGACGGAGCAACGCCGCGUGAGUGAUGAAGGUCUUCGGAUCGUAAAGCUCUGUUAUUAGGGAAGAACAUAAGUGUAAGUAACUGUGCACAUCUUGACGGUACCUAAUCAGAAAGCCACGGCUAACUUCGUG